rnacentral:lncRNA from 1 species
AUUUUCUGUGUCUUCUCCUUGUUAGCUAUUCUCAUGGCAUAUUGACUAGAAAUACUUUUUUUGCUUUAUUAAAAAUUUAUAAUUAGCUGAUGAUAGCACAUAAAGCAAUCAUCAGCUUGGCGGAUUUGAGUUCACUUCUGAAUGAUUUUACAUCUUGCAGACUGGGUUCAGUUUCAACUGAUUUUAUCACUUGGAGGAAUGGAACCAAAUCCAGACAAUUUUACUAUCUUGGAGGAUUAGGUGUUCUAUUGUUUACUAUUAUUGCUAAAUUAUUACCAUUGUUAGUCAUUUUUGACUUAGGAUUUUUUUACCAAAAUGGGGUUAUCUUCGUUGGCCAAAAAAAUUAUUUAUCAUUAUAAGCAGAGAAGCAUCUGUAAUUCUAAUUAAUGUAUAUACUCAUAUAUAAGCC